rnacentral:rRNA from 1 species
GACGAACGCUGGCGGCGUGCCUAAUACAUGCAAGUAGAACGUUGAAGGAGGAGCUUGCUUCUCUGGAUGAGUUGCGAACGGGUGAGUAACGCGUAGGUAACCUGCCUGGUAGCGGGGGAUAACUAUUGGAAACGAUAGCUAAUACCGCAUAACAGUAGAUGUUGCAUGACAUUUGCUUAAAAGGUGCAAUUGCAUCACUACCAGAUGGACCUGCGUUGUAUUAGCUAGUUGGUGGGGUAACGGCUCACCAAGGCGACGAUACAUAGCCGACCUGAGAGGGUGAUCGGCCACACUGGGACCGAGACACGGCCCAGACUCCUACGGGAGGCAGCAGUAGGGAAUCUUCGGCAAUGGACGGAAGUCUGACCGAGCAACGCCGCGUGAGUGAAGAAGGUUUUCGGAUCGUAAAGCUCUGUUGUAAGAGAAGAACGAGUGUGAGAGUGGAAAGUUCACACUGCGACGGUAUCUUACCAGAAAGGGACGGCUAACUACGUGC